CUGGCGGCGUGCCUAAUACAUGCAAGUCGAGCGAAUGGAUUAAGAGCUUGCUCUUAUGAAGUUAGCGGCGGACGGGUGAGUAACACGUGGGUAACCUGCCCAUAAGACUGGGAUAACUCCGGGAAACCGGGGCUAAUACCGGAUAACAUUUUGAACCGCAUGGUUCGAAAUUGAAAGGCGGCUUCGGCUGUCACUUAUGGAUGGACCCGCGUCGCAUUAGCUAGUUGGUGAGGUAACGGCUCACCAAGGCAACGAUGCGUAGCCGACCUGAGAGGGUGAUCGGCCACACUGGGACUGAGACACGGCCCAGACUCCUACGGGAGGCAGCAGUAGGGAAUCUUCCGCAAUGGACGAAAGUCUGACGGAGCAACGCCGCGUGAGUGAUGAAGGCUUUCGGGUCGUAAAACUCUGUUGUUAGGGAAGAACAAGUGCUAGUUGAAUAAGCUGGCACCUUGACGGUACCUAACCAGAAAGCCA
rnacentral:rRNA from 1 species